CUGCUGUAAAAGAGUUUCUAAAUUGGUAGAGAUAAAAUUUUUACACAUGAAGCAAUAAGAGACAAAUGAAAGUACAGAUGAAUGGCUCAGGGAAGUUAGUGCACUAACCAAGGGAACACGAUCUAAUAGGCAUACUAGGAGGCAUUUGAGAGGUUAUCACAUUCAUAAAACAAAAAUAGGAACAAUCAUAGCCUAGGACUGCCAAAGAAAUAUAAUAGAAACUAAACAUGGUUGAGGACAGUUUUUCUCUUGUUUUUUAAAUAAAUAAUCAUGGCAAGGUGCAAUAAAAUAUCCACAUCUUUCCAAAUCAUCUUCAAACCUCUUUAAACACUACUGUAGCUGAUCGGUGAUAGUUCAGAGUGUUCCACAGCGUCGAAAUUCUAGAAGGAUUUUAAAGUUUACUAAAUUCAAAUGAAUCUUUGCUCCAGGAAGUCUGCAGUAAGGAGGCAUUUCUUUUCUUCCUUUUUUAUCCUACUGCUACCAGCCUUUAGUACAUUUACCAUUCCACUGCAAGCAAGUGAGGAAAUAGACAAGUGAGAAUAUCUGCUUAGGGACGUAUGGCAGCAAGGAUGCCCUUGGCUACAAGUAAAAGAAAAGCCCACUGAGACGUAAAUGAAGAGGAAAUCUCUUAUCUCCCAAGAUAAGAAGCACGCCGUGAGGGCUGGUAGCAGAAUGGUUGUCAUUCCAGGAGGCCCUCCCAGACUGUAUCCCAGUGGGUAUAGUCCAGUGAAACGACGGGAAAACUAUGACCAUGAGGGCCACUGACCAGGGGAAACAAAAACUGGACUGAUUGAGCUCUCCUGAUGUAGACCAGCCAGUGGCCCUGGUGGCUUCCUUGCAGAACUCCAGGGGUACCAUCCACAUUGUGCCCCUCAGAACAUGUCCAUCGCAGUGUAUUACAAUAUGCAUGGUGUCCCCUGAAGUUGUGCAGCUUAGCACUGGCUCACCUACUUAACCCCAGCCUUCUAUCCCAAGGGAAUGGGAAAGAACAGAUAUUUCAAGACCAAGUCAUCAUAUUAUUCCUUCUUCCAAGGCAGUAGGUCUCUUGUAGUAAUGUAAUUCACUCAAGUGAUUCUUGCAAAAUAAAGAUCUAUUCAAAUGUGA